UACGGGGUGGGCGAGCGUUGCCCGGAAUUACUGGGUUUAAAGGGGGUGUAGGCGGUCCGGAGAGUCAGGUGUGUAAUCCAACCGCUCAACGGUUGGGCUGCACCUGAUACUUCCGGGCUAGAGGGCGGUAGAGGAGAGCGGAACUCCCGGUGUAGCGGUGAAAUGCGUAGAUAUCGGGAGGAACGCCGGUGGCGAAGGCGGCUCUCUGGGCCGUUCCUGACGCUGAGGCCAGAAAGCUGGGGGAGCGAAAGGG
rnacentral:rRNA from 1 species